GUAGGCAUUUCAUGUUUUGCCCCCAACGCCCACCCCCCCACCACCCCGCCCCCAGCACAAUGGUGUGAGAGGAAGGAAUGAAAUUUAAACUAAGGGCCCAGGGUGAAUGAAACAAGCAUAUCACGUGACUUCACUUUAGCUGCUUUUCACCGGAUGGCUACAAGGUGACGCAGUCAUCCUUACUCACUCUAGAGCCAAGGGCUUCCAGCUGGUGGUCCUUGUCCUUGUUCUGACUUUUUAGGUGACUGACCUCUUCCUUUAGUUGUUGAACUUGCUCAUCCUUUGCUAAUAUGUCUUUUUGCAAAGAUGACACCAUCCCUGUAAAAAAGAAGACUCGCAGAGGUCAAAGAGGCAGUGAGGAUGACUGUCAUCGCUGCCGCUGUCAACCAGUUUGUGACGAGCCUGGCACUGAGAAGGGAGGUGUCUCCAAGGAUCCCAGGAGCUUGAAUGGGGUUGAGACCAAUAUCCACUGCACAUCAUUUGUUCAAGGUCCCAGUGAGAAGGAGAGAAUCAGAAAGUAAACCAAAACCAAGACCCAUCCACAUGGCCGUGAACCACCCCCAAGCCACCAAUGGCAGCCCUGACGCAUACCUUGCUUGAUGACGGGUGGCUUGCGGGCGUCGUCCACCACGAACGAGAACAUCUCCUUGUUGGCGCUCACAGGCCGCCUGUGGGAGGCCGGCAGGACCACGCCCAGAGAGAAGAUGAGCUCAGACACACACAAUGAGGAAAAGGACAGAAUGCUUCCAAAAUCAGAGCUCCAGCAGACAGCACUUCCUAGAACUUCAGCUGGGUUUCAUUGAAAAGGAGGGCUCUCCACUCAGGAUCCUAAUCUCCAAGCUGCAGUCUGUCUACAGCUGCUCAGGGAUCCUAUGCAUUCCCCCUAAGGCUCUUUCUUGGAGUCAGUGAGGAGUGUUCUGGGAAAUCUGGCACCAAACUCCGAUCACCUGGUGAUACAUGGUUUGGCUGUGCCCCACCCAAAUCUCAUCUUGAACUGUAGUUCCCAAAAUCCCCUUAGGACGGACUGGGAGGGACCUGGUGGGAGGUAAUGGAAUCAUGGGGGCAGUUACCUCCAUGCUGCUCUCGUGAUAAUGAGUGACUUCUUGUAAGAUCUGAUGGUUUUAUAAUGGGCUUUCCCCACCCCCUUGCUCUGCACUUCUCCUUGCUGCCGCCAUGUGAGGAAGGACACGUUUGCUUCCCCUUCUGCCAUGAUUGUAAGUUUCCUGAGGCCUCCCCAGCCCUGGGGAACUGUGAGUCAAUUAAACCUGUUCGUUUUUAAAUUACACAGUCUCUGGUAUGUCCUUAUAGCAGUGUGAGAAUGGACUAAUACAUCUGGGGACACCUGGCCAGGCAUUCAAAUGACACUGGCCCACUUGAAGUCUGUUUUCAGGAGUGGGUCUGGGCCGAGUUCCAGAACUCUGUUACCUUACGUGUAGUUUCCCAUUUCUCUCCACUGUCAACAUCUCAGCCUCUCCACCUACCCUCUUUUCCAUUCUUUGGUUUCAGAAGCUGAGCCACUGUGCCCCUGCCCUGGGCUGACUUCUCCGUCCAUCAUGUCCUUCCC
rnacentral:lncRNA from 10 species